rnacentral:rRNA from 1 species
UACGGAGGGUGCGAGCGUUUGUCCGGAAUCAUUGGGCGUAAAGGGCGCGUAGGUGGCCCGGUCAGUCCGUGGUGAAAGCGCGGGGCUCAACCCCGCGUCGGCCAUGGAUACUGCUGGGCUGGAGCACUGUAGAGGCAGGCGGAAUUCCGGGUGUAGCGGUGGAAUGCGUAGAGAUCCGGAAGAACACCGGUGGCGAAGGCGGCCUGCUGGGCAGUUGCUGGACACUGAGGCGCGACAGCGUGGGGAGCAAACAGGG